GCCUGGGUGGCUCAGUCGGUUAAGCAUCUGACUUCAGCUCAGGUCACGAUCUCGCGGUCCGUGAGUUCGAGCCCCACGUCGGGCU
rnacentral:tRNA from 1 species